AGGUUUAGGACAUCAGAGUCUAGGCUAACAAGAAAACUCCGGACAGAGGCUAGCGAAUAUAUUAAGGCAGAGGAAGGAGCAAGAGAGAUAAUGGGGUGUGUUGGUGCCCUGAGAAAAGAGUAAAGCAGCAGACGCUGCAGUGUAUCAUCAGUUCUGAUGAGAAUUCAGCUCCAGGCAGUGAAGUGUUUUCUGCCUGCCCUAUCACAGAUGUUACGGGGUGCCUUUCCUGGAGGAGCUUCCAUUGCUGAGAGCGUCGUGAUGCCAGCUGAAAUCUUGUCCUACUAUAUCACAGCAGAAAACACCUCAGUGAGCCUCUUCUGCAAAGAUGAUACUGAAUGUUCCAGGAAAAGUCACCGUGCCAAAGGACAAGGUGGAGCUAAAUCUUCAGGCUGCUUCAGCAACUGUACCUACGCUGUUUGCACCUGCAGUGCCUCCUGGAUUUAUCACCCUAUAAAGAAUGAGAAGCCUCAGGAAACAAAAUGGGGGAGAAGACAAAGCAGGUUAAGUUGA
rnacentral:lncRNA from 1 species